rnacentral:rRNA from 1 species
UGGCUGUCGUCAGCUCGUGUCGUGAGAUGUUGGGUUAAGUCCCGCAACGAGCGCAACCCUUGUCAUUAGUUGCUACGAAAGGGCACUCUAAUGAGACUGCCGGUGACAAACCGGAGGAAGGUGGGGAUGACGUCAAGUCCUCAUGGCCCUUAUGGGUAGGGCUUCACACGUCAUACAAUGGUACAUACAGAGGGCCGCCAACCCGCGAGGGGGAGCUAAUCCCAGAAAGUGUAUCGUAGUCCGGAUUGUAGUCUGCAACUCGACUACAUGAAGUUGGAAUCGCUAGUAAUCGCGGAUCAGCAUGUCGCGGUGAAUACGUUCCAGGGUCUUGUACACACCGCCCGUCACACCAUGGGAGCGGGUUUUACCAGAAGUAGGUAGCUUAACCGUAAGGAGGGCGCUUACCACGGUA